rnacentral:misc_RNA from 1 species
CAAACAUCUCCCACUUUUAGAGAAUUCUCCCUUGCAAAUGAACGCCAUCCAUCUGAGAUCAUAGCUUUAGCAGGAUACCUGAAUAAUUUCACAGACCAUCGCCUGUUUUCAACCUGUAACAUUACUUUGUUUGUGCCUUGCUUUGUACUUUUCGCAACAAGAUUUAGCGGUACAUACACUAAGGAAUUCUCCAGAUGGCAUGAAUUAAUGAUCACUUUGAAGAAGGGAUUCACAGAGGUAAAUUUCUUUGCAGCUUCGAUAGCUCCAAAAGCCUUUGAGCAUGAAUUUCCUGGAUUAAACUGCCUGCAGCAGCUACUUUCUUCAUCUUUCAAUUGCUUGCUGGUUCCUGCAUCAAGUGAUAGGCUGCUAUUUGCAUCUUUGAUGUGUCGGAAAAUGCCUACUUUGAAUCUAAUUGCAAUGCGAUUAAUCAGUUCAAAGACACAAACAUCACCAACUUCCAAGUGAUUUUCUUCUACAAAUUUCUUCCAACCAUGACGUAGUGUAGCUGAUGCUCUUCCAUUGCACAGAGUAUAACUGAAAUCAACAGACCAAGUUUCCCCAUCCUCUGUAAUGAGGGCGACAGACCCGCUAUUCUUGUUGAAAUAAUCCCUCAUAAAGCUUGCUGGUAUACGCAAUCUAUGAAGAUAUGAUGGUUGCAUUGCAAUCAUGAAGUAAGGAUUUCCAGAUUUAAAUUUAGUUCCUGCAUUAUGGAGUGCAUUAGCUUUUUCCUCAGCUGUCAAUGGUUGUUUCCUCCCUGCAACCCCAUCCAAGGACUUUUUCUCAUUAGACAUGCCUUCCUUGCUCCUCUUUGCUUCAGAUUGCCCAGUGGGCCAGUGUGAUUUUGUGUUUUCUGUGGGAUUCUCUAGCUUAAUCUUCUUAUGAGGCUGAGGGAAUGGUAAUGGUGAUUUCGCUUUUGUUUUUGGGGACCGCAAAGAGUAACCCAAUAUUUCAACACCAACAUCAUUUUCAGUUUCUUCAAUCUCUGGGUCUGGGCAUUCUUCCUCAAGAUUAGGCUCCUCAUCAUAUGCAUUGGUGAUGUUGAAUGGAUAGUCUAUCUCUGAGGCACUCUUGUCAAAUACGAAUACAUUGAAAUGACAGUUUUGCUCAAAUUCAAAAAUUAGGAAGUAUCCAAAAACUAAAGAGUAAUACUCCACAAAUUCCUGCCAGCCAUUUUCUAACCAAAUCUCACCAUUACACUUCGCAAGCUGUACCUGCCAUUUUGCACCACUAGGGACCUUCAGGAAUACAGGACUUGACAGUUCACUUCCAUAUCUCCUCACAAACCUUCUUGGAAUGCCAAGCUUCCUACUACGAAUGGUAUCAUCAAGAAUUAUCUU